GGAAGUAAAAGUCUUAACAAGGUUUCCGUAGGUGAACCUGCGGAAGGAUCAUUAGUGAAUUUUAGGGCGUCUACUUGUAGAGCCUGACCUCCACUUUCUAACUCUGUGCACUUAUUUGGCGGAAAAAGGGAAUAGUGAUUGUUUAACGACGAUUGCGAAUUCCUUAUUCUGCGGCUUACUUUAAACACUAGUCAAAGUAUGUAACGAAAUAUCGAAAUACAAAAAAACUUUCAACAACGGAUCUCUUGGCUCUC
rnacentral:misc_RNA from 1 species